GACGAACGCUGGCGGCGUGCUUAACACAUGCAAGUCGAACGAAGUGGCGAACGGGUGAGUAACGCGUAAUCAACCUGCCCUUCAGAGGGGGACAACAGUUGGAAACGACUGCUAAUACCGCAUACUGAAGGAGGGGAUUGCGGCUGAUUAGCUAGUUGGAGGGGUAACGGCCCACCAAGGCGAUGAUCGGUAGCCGGGCUGAAGGGGUGAACGGCCACAUUUGGACGUAGACACGGCCCAGACUUCUACGGGAGGCAGCAGGGGGGAAUCUUCCGCAAUGGACGAAAGUCUUACUGGGCAACGCCGCGGUAGUGAUUACGGCCUUCGGGUUGGAAAGCUCUGUUAAUCGGGACGCGGUACCGGAAUAGAAAGCCACGGCUAACUACGUGCCAGCAGCCGCGGUAAUUC
rnacentral:rRNA from 1 species